rnacentral:rRNA from 1 species
GACGAACGCUGGCGGCGUGCCUAAUACAUGCAAGUCGAACGCUUCUUUCCUCCCGAGUGCUUGCACUCAAUUGGAAAGAGGAGUGGCGGACGGGUGAGUAACACGUGUGUAACCUACCCAUCAGAGGGGGAUAACACUUGGAAACAGGUGCUAAUACCGCAUAACAGUUUAUGCCGCAUGGCAUAAGAGUGAAAGUCGCUUUCGGGUGUCGCUGAUGGAUGGACCCGCGGUGCAUUAGCUAGUUGGUGAGGUAACGGCUCACCAAGGCGACGAUGCAUAGCCGACCUGAGAGGGUGAUCGGCCACACUGGGACUGAGACACGGCCCAGACUCCUACGGGAGGCAGCAGUAGGGAAUAUUCGGCAAUGGACGAAAGUCUGACCGAGCAACGCCGCGUGAGUGAAGAAGGUUUUCGGAUCGUAAAACUCUGUUGUUAGAGAAGAACAAGGACGUUAGUAACUGAACGUCCCCUGACGGUAUCUAACCAGAAAGCCACGGCUAACUACGUG